AGAGCCAAGGAAGCAAAAUAAAGGUAUGAUAAUGUUACCCCCAAUAAGAAGCACAGGGAUGGAUGACUGACUUAAUUGCUGGAAGAAAAAUCUUCACAGAGGCCUCUUGCUGGGUACCUUGAGAAGGUGGUUGAGUUCCCAGCAAUGCAGUUCUCCAUUAAAACUCCAGAUUAAGGAAGGAGAAGUGGCAAAGGGGGCCACAUGGGAUUACACAAGGUUUGAGACAAACUCAUGACCAGCCACUUUUGAGUACAAUUGGAAGAGAUGAAAUACUAGUGAUUCACAACCCAGUUCAGACUAGUCUCCCCACUUU
rnacentral:lncRNA from 1 species